rnacentral:rRNA from 1 species
UACAGAGGGUGCAAGCGUUAAUCGGAAUUACUGGGCGUAAAGCGUGCGUAGACGGUUAUGUAAGUCGGGUGUGAAAGCCCCGGGCUCAACCUGGGAAUGCCAUUCGAGACUGCAUAGCUAGGGUGCGGAAGAGGGAAGCGGAAUUUCCGGUGUAGCGGUGAAAUGCGUAGAUAUCAGGAGGAACACCGGUGGCGAAGGCGGUUCUCUGGGCAUUACCUGACGCUGAGGAGCGAAAGUGUGGGGAGCGAACAGG